GGUUAAGCUACUAAGAGCACAGGGUGAAUGCCUUGGCACCAAGAGCCGAUGAAGGACGUGAUAAGCUGCGAAAAGCUGUGAGGAGGAGCAAAUAUCCAUUAUAUUCACAGAUAUCCGAAUGAGGAAACUCUAGUUAGGAAAAAAGCUAACUAAUCCAUACAUGAGUAAAGUAGUGUAUGUGAGGGGAACGUAGGGAACUGAAACAUCUAAGUACCUACAGGAAAAGAAAGAAAACUCGAUUCCUUGAGUAGUGGCGAGCGAAAGAGGAAGAGCCUAAACCAAGAAAAGUAAUUUUCUUGGGGUUAUGGACUACAUAAAUGAUUCAAUAGAUUUAGCAGAACUGUUUGGAAAAGCAGACCAAAGAUAGUGAAAGUCUAGUAAGCGAAAAAUCGAAAGACAUGGUAGUAUCCGGAGUAGUGCGAGACACGGGAAAUCUCGUAUGAAAAAGUGGGGACCACCCCAUAAGGCUAAAUACUACUUGGUGACCGAUAGUGGAACAGUACCGUGAGGGAAAGGUGAAAAGAACCCCGGGAGGGGAGUGAAAGAGAACCUGAAACCCUGUGUUUACAAGCAGACAAAGCACGUUAAGGUGCGAUGUCGUACUUUUUGUAGAACGGUCCGGCGAGUUAUUUUAUAUGGCAAGGUUAAGUACUAUUAAGGUACGAAGCCGAAGCGAGAGCGAGUCUGAAAAGGGCGAGUAAGUCAUAUGAAAUAGACCCGAAACCGAGUGACCUAUCCAUGGUCAGGAUGAAGCUUGA
rnacentral:ncRNA from 1 species